rnacentral:rRNA from 1 species
AGAGUUUGAUCCUGGCUCAGAACGAACGCUGGCGGCGCGCCUAAUACAUGCAAGUCGAGCGAGAAGGUGUAGCAAUACACUUGUAAAGCGGCGAACGGGUGAGGAAUACAUGGGUAAUCUACCAUCGAGUGGGGAAUAACCAGCCGAAAGGUUGGCUAAUACCGCGUACGCUUCCGAGUCUUCGGGCUUGGAAGGAAAGCCGCACUGUGAGUGCGGCGCUCUUUGAUGAGCUCAUGUCCUAUCAGCUUGUUGGUAGGGUAACGGCCUACCAAGGCUUUGACGGGUAGCUGGUCUGAGAGGACGAUCAGCCACACUGGCACUGCGACACGGGCCAGACUCCUACGGGAGGCAGCAGUAAGGAAUAUUGCGCAAUGGGCGAAAGCCUGACGCAGCGACGCCGCGUGGGGGAUGAAGGUCUUCGGAUUGUAAACCCCUUUCGGGAGGGAAGAUGGAACGAGCAAUCGUUCGGACGGUACCUCCAGAAGCAGCCACGGCCAACUUCGUGCCAGCAGCCGCGGUAAUACGAAGGUGGCAAGCGUUGUUCGGAUUCACUGGGCGUACAGGGUGUGUAGGCGGUUUGGUAAGCCUUCUGUUAAAGCUUCGGGCCCAACCCGGAAAGCGCAGAGGGUACUGCCAGGCUAGAGGGUGGGAGAGGAGCGCGGAAUUCCCGGUGUAGCGGUGAAAUGCGUAGAGAUCGGGAGGAAGGCCGGUGGCGAAGGCGGCGCUCUGGAACAUGCCUGACGCUGAGACACGAAAGCGUGGGGAGCAAACAGGAUUAGAUACCCU